rnacentral:ncRNA from 1 species
UAAGGGGUGCCCUCCAUUUGGCGGGCUGAGAUCACACCCUCAUACCUGAUCCGGAUAAUGCCGGCGUAGGAAUCAGU